UACAGAGGUCUCAAGCGUUGUUCGGAUUCAUUGGGCGUAAAGGGUGCGUAGGUGGCGCGGUAAGUCGGGUGUGAAAUCUCGGAGCUUAACUCCGAAACUGCAUUCGAUACUGCCGUGCUUGAGGACUGGAGAGGAGACUGGAAUUUACGGUGUAGCGGUGAAAUGCGUAGAUAUCGUAAGGAAGACCAGUGGCGAAGGCGGGUCUCUGGACAGUUCCUGACGCUGAGGCACGAAGGCCAGGGGGAGCAAAACGGGG
rnacentral:rRNA from 1 species